AUUUUUGUUAGAUUUCUUCUGAAGGUUUGAUUUUAAAUCUUCAGUCCUAGAUUCAAAGUUCGGACAGUAAGUGUGAUGAAGCUGUAUCUAAUUCUGGUAACAUUAUUGGCUCUGUUCUUUAGUUCUGUGGUGGCUAAACAUUUCCUUGUAGAAACUAUAGAUGAAACCCCAGAAAAAGAUGUAAAACAACCUAAGAAUCAAGUUUCGCCUGGAACCCCUGAGAUUGGUGAAGAUUAUAGAUUGGACAGAUUAGAAGGAUUUCGUCACUUGGGUUAAAUUAAUUUUGUAAAAGAAAUUAUAUAAAAAAGUAAACUUCUUGCAUAUUUAUUAAA